CCUCGUCUCCGGUGCGUCGAGGCUUUUUUCGGUCGUGACCUCGAGAGGAAUCCUGGAGCCUGUAAGGCAUGCCUAUGUGUUGUGGAUCCUUAAACAUUAAGUCGGUUUCCUGGCACGACCACCUUCGCCCUAGUCUACGCAUCCAAGCCCCAGGACUCUCUCCUCUCUCUCUUUCGAAUUUUUCUCUCCGUCUUGCUAGGCAACCGACCGUCGGCGGCCUCGCUCGGGUCGCAGUGUUGCCCUCCUAAUUUGCUUGCCCAGCCAUGUCUCUGCUUGCUGGUGCCCCCAUCCCGCUCAGGGAGCAACCCUGAUGAUCUCCCUGUCCCCUUUCCCUCAGAUCUGGACAGGGCCCCAGUUCUUUCACGGAUUUGGAGGGGUAUAUGAGUCGAGUGGCAGGAUCGGAGACAAGGCCAAAGAGAGGUUCUGGUCAGCCUAGGCGGAAGCUUCGACAAUGGAAGGCCGAUUUUGGUGUUGGGGUAUUCCCUAUAUCUGUCUCCCUGAUGUUGUGAUGGCGGCGCAAGUCUGGUCAUUGGGGAGGAGAGGCUAGGAUGUCACAGAUGGAUGGAAGAGGCGACAGAAGUAGGUGCUCUGUUUCUUUCUCUUUUCUUUACCAAUGCAGCGAUGGGUUCUUCCGUAUGAAUACACAAAGAUACCCUGUUUUGUGCUAUUUAGUUAAGUGGGGGUUCCGUACGAUUUGUGAUGAGUUUUGGAUUGAGGUCAUUUGAGCUGGCCACUCCCUAGCCCCUAGGAUGUGCUCCAAAGAUAAUUUACUACAGUCGCCAUGCUCAUGUUAAUAUUUCUGCAAUUUCAUUACAUAGCAGUCCAGAUCAGAAUAAAUAGAAGACAUUAUAGUUGUACUAUUGCAGUCAGAUUCAUGGUCCUCUAAAUGUUUUUUAAUCAUAUACUCUAAUAGAAGCGGUAUUGUGGUGCAUAUAAACUACCAAAAUAUAAUUCAAACAGAUUUUAUCUUGCUUCGUGUUAAAAAAAAUUAGGGACUAUGUCAAUGUCAGAUAAUCUCUUUGAGGAAUUUUUUUUGUUUCGAGAAUCAACAACCAACAAAUCCAGGCCCCCGGCGAGCAUUCCUUUUUUAAUGUCUUCGGCCCUUUUUUUAGGUUUAAUUUUUUGCGAUGUUGAACAUUAUUUGGAACCCUUAGUGAUUUCAUGAUGAAAUGCAAAACUGCGUUGAAUCCUUCAGUUUUAGGCUUUAAUAAUAUUUAGGAUCACACUUCAUUUUAGGCUUUAAUAAGAUAUAGGAUCACACUGCGAAGAAAGUUCAAUCAUUGUCCUUUUAUUUGUUUAGUACUUUGCAUUGUAUGUAUGUAUGGAUCUGUGGGUGUGGGCUUAAUCAAUUCUCUUCCAUGUUUUGUUUUGUCAUCCUAAGAUAGAUUCGUGCUGACUGGAAUUUGAUAGAUUUUUCCAAUCAUUUCUGGAUCAUCAAACUUGCACAAGUACAACAUGGGAUCCAAAGAAAGAAUGAUACAUUGGCUAACUUAUGUGAACCAGAGGAUUGAUUGAUUUGGCCAUCAGGGCUUGGAUUUCUUCCUACAGGUUUUGUGAACUCCGUUGUGACUUGCAAGACACCACUACCAAGCAUAUAUUAGUUGUGACUUGGAAGCAUGUGAAAUUGAGCACUUCUACAUGGUUGUUGGUUUCCUUUUUUUCUACCACAACCAGCUGGCCAAUCAUCUUGUUUCUUCAGUGCCUCUUCGAUAGUGCCCCUUCACCUUGGUCGUUCCUGCUUCUUUCUGGAACCUAUGAUGGAGGGGGGUCAUGGUAAAAGUUCUACCACUCAUAUUUGUUCUACCUCAACCUGGUGUUGUUAUUGUUGGUGGUAGCUCUUGAUUUUACCAGCCUAUGAUAGGAAAAUAAAAUUGCUUCUGUUACAUCCCCAGUUUAUUUAGUGCCAUCUUACAUACCAGAAUUAAAUAUUGAGGUUUCACAUCAUUAAUGGAUUAGCCUAAUGAUUUCAGAA